AAUGAACGUUGGCGGCGUGGAUUAGGCAUGCAAGUCGAGCGGAAAGGCCCGCAAGGGCACUCGAGCGGCGUAAGGGACAGUAAUGUGUAGGUACGUACCCCUGGGUCUAGGAUAGCUGCGGGAAACUGCAAUUAAUACUAGAUGAUGUCUUCGGACCAAAGGUGUGAUUCCACCCAGGGAGCGGCCUACAUCCUAUUAGCUAGUUGGUGAGGUGACGGCUCACCAAGGCGAAGAUGGGUAGCAGGUGUGAGAGCACGACCUGCGUCACUGGGACUGAGACACUGCCCAGACACCUACGGGUGGCUGCAGUCGAGAAUCGUCGGCAAUGGGCGAAAGCCUGACCGAGCGACGCCGCGUGCGGGAUGAAGGCCUGCGGGUUGUAAACCGCUGUCGGAGGGGAUGAAAUGCCGAUGGGUACUCCCAACGGCUUGACUGAUCCUCGGAGGAAGGGUGGGCUAAGUUCGUG
rnacentral:rRNA from 1 species